rnacentral:hammerhead_ribozyme from 1 species
ACCAGCUGAUGAGUCCUAAAUAGGAAGAAACGAACGUCCUGGAU